UACGUAGGCAGCAAGCGUUGUUCGGAGUUACUGGGCGUAAAGGGUGCGUAGGCGGCUUCUUAAGUCUGGUGUGAAAUCUCCCGGCUCAACUGGGAGGGUGCGCCGGAUACUGAGGGGCUAGAGUGUGGGAGAGGAAAGUGGAAUUCCUGGUGUAGCGGUGAAAUGCGUAGAUAUCGUAAGGAAGACCAGUGGCGAAGGCGGGUCUCUGGACAGUUCCUGACACUGAGGCACGAAGGCCAGGGGAGCAAACGGG
rnacentral:rRNA from 1 species